GUUUUCUGUUUUGUUUUUCAGAUGGAUCCUGGCAUGGAGGCUCUGAUGGAUGGAAUCCGAUCUGCUGUUCGUGAGAGGGGAAUUUCUUGGGUUCAGGACUGCCUUACUUCUGGGUCUGGGCCUUCUUCUGCGCCACUGCAUCAGCCCACGAGGCGGACAAGGAUGGCCCAGCAAUUGAGUCCCAGUGCGGUUCCCAGGAGGCGACGGAGUAGGAGCCCUUCAGCAGGGCCUGUGGAUAGGAG